GAAUUGCGAUAUGUAAUGUGAAUUGCAGAAUUCAGUGAAUCAUCGAAUCUUUGAACGCACCUUGCGCCCUUUGGUAUUCCGAAGGGCAUGCCUGUUUGAGUGUCAUUAAAUUCUCAACUUCACAAGGGUUUAUUCCCUUGAUGAAGCUUGGACUUUGGAGGCUUGCUGGCAUCACUGUCAGCUCCUCUUAAAUGCAUUAGCGGAAAUAUUAAGGACUGGCUUUGGUUUGAUAAUCCUAUCUAUGCCGUUGCUGUGGACUUUGUUAUUGUUUCAGCUUCUAAUGGUCUUUGGACUGUCUCCCUGUGAGGCAUACAAUUUUUAAGCUUGACCUCAAAUCAGGUAGGACUACCCGCUGAACUUAA
rnacentral:misc_RNA from 1 species